rnacentral:rRNA from 1 species
UACGUAGGGUGCAAGCGUUGUCCGGAAUUAUUGGGCGUAAAGAGCUCGUAGGCGGUUUGUCGCGUCUGCUGUGAAAACUCAGGGCUUAACCCUGAGCCUGCAGUGGGUACGGGCAGACUAGAGUGUGGUAGGGGAGAUCGGAAUUCCUGGUGUAGCGGUGGAAUGCGCAGAUAUCAGGAGGAACACCGGUGGCGAAGGCGGCUACCUGGACAAUUGCUGACGCUCAGGCACGAAAGCGUGGGGAGCAAAAGGG